rnacentral:rRNA from 1 species
AUUGAACGCUGGCGGCAUGCCUUACACAUGCAAGUCGAACGGUAACGGGUCUUCGGGUGCCGACGAGUGGCGAACGGGUGAGUAAUACAUCGGAACGUGCCCGAUCGUGGGGGAUAACGAGGCGAAAGCUUUGCUAAUACCGCAUACGAUCUACGGAUGAAAGCAGGGGACCGCAAGGCCUUGCGCGGACGGAGCGGCCGAUGGCAGAUUAGGUAGUUGGUGGGAUAAAAGCUUACCAAGCCGACGAUCUGUAGCUGGUCUGAGAGGAUGAUCAGCCACACUGGGACUGAGACACGGCCCAGACUCCUACGGGAGGCAGCGGUGGGGAAUUUUGGACAAUGGGCGCAAGCCUGAUCCAGCCAUGCCGCGUGCAGGAUGAAGGCCUUCGGGUUGUAAACUGCUUUUGUACGGAACGAAAAGCCUUCUUUUAAUACAGGAGGGUCAUGACGGUACCGUAAGAAUAAGCACCGGCUAACUACGUG